AAAGCAAGGGUGGGGGAAGAAGAUGGUUGCAAUUAUUUAAAUAAAUAGCAUAUAAGCAACUGGUCUUAUUAAAGAAAUAGAAAUAAUAGGCUUAGUCUUUUCACAUCUUGUGCACUUAUAUGGAUUAUGACAAGCUCAGUUCUGUACAAAUAAUUUAAUGAAUGUACAACUUGCUUCUACAUGAUAGUACAUAUACCUAACUUGUGUUCUUUCUUUCUUUCUUUUUGAGGGGAUUAUAUUACAUAAACAUAGUACAUAGAAAAGGCAAAAAUUAUCAUCAAAUACUUUUGUGGCUCACUGACAAUGUUUACUGAAUUAAAAGGAUGAAAUUUCUUCCAUUCUGUUGGUUUCCUUGUAGUUCAUGGAUUUUAAUUGCUUUUGUCUCUGAGUUCAUCUAGCUCUGAUUCAUGACUGCUGCAUCACUAAACCUGCAGAAAAAUAAAUUUUCAGCCUUCCCAGUCACCUUCCUUUUAUGGAAAAAAACUAAUAGAGGAGUAUUUGUCUCAAUCCACACAAGGUCAACACAAACAAAGACAAGCAGAAAAAGACAAUUCUGAGGGAAUGACUGGACACAGAUAUGUGAAGAACAUUAUAUGUUUCCCUGCACCAACAUCUAAACAGUCACUGGCAACUUGCCUAGAUAUUUUGUAUGCUACGUGUCUGUCAAAUAGCUCAAAGAUCCAGAUGCAGAAUCUGGCAAUUAUGACAUUCUGGUGAUGCCUUUCAACUCUUCAGCUUGUGAUUAGGAUACAGAGAAGCAUAAAUAUAAUGAUUUUUAAUCAGGUAUCUUUUUUCAGGCACUGUUUUAUUUAUCAGAAAAUUGACAUAUAUUUCCCUCACUUCAUCAAAACAGUAUUUCAAAAACUCCUUUUCUUUUCAUUCUUUCUAGAGGAAAGGUUCUAAGGGCAAACUUCUCUCUUAAAUAAUGGAGAACAGUCAUUCAAUUGUGGCAUCAGCCUUCCCAAUAUCACUUCCAUAGAACAAUGAGAAGGAAAUUGCUAGAAGUUUUAUAUGAAUGCAGUUAUGAAAUUUAAACUCUUACUUCUGAAGUGAAAGGACCAAAGUAUCUAAUACAGUAGGUACACUGAAAAAAUUAAGGGAUACUGCCUAUCUCAUGCAACUUACUAAAGAUAAACUAUAUGAGUGCAUUCUUGUGUUUCGCUUCAUAAUUUCUUUAUCCCAAGCCUUAGAGUUCUGCAACCAAAACUGCAGAAUGCUCCAUUGGGCUUGCAUCUUCACAGAUCCAGCAUAGUACAAUUGGUGCACUCGCAACUGCUCUGCAUAUCUAAUAGAUGGCAGGCUGACCGCACAAUGGUUAUGUCAUUGAGCCCACAGAUUAAUUUUGCAGAGACUCGGACAGGUUCAGAGGAGCUUCUCUGAUUCAUUAGUAACAUAUUAGGUAACAUUAAGAGAAUUUUUUUUUCAGCAAAACAUACUUUGCAAUUACUGAAAAAUAUACUAUAUAUAGUUUUGUCCUGUAAGUCCCUGUGUGUUCCAGAAAGCUGAAAGUCUUACCAGACAGCUUGUGCUCAGUUUUCUGACACCCACAUUGUCUCCUAAUAGACACUGCUCUAGUUUCCAUUGCUCUCUAAAGUGACUGAUGCUCUCACCAAUGAGCUAUUUGUCCUGUCACUCUGGAAGGACACCAGUGGUGUCCACCACCCCCAGCUUAGCACUUGGAUAGAGAAAAAUAGGUCAUUUAAUGCAGCUAAGGCAUAGGCAACACUGAGGAUUUGAAGAUAGGUUUUUCCUGCAAGCCUCAGACACUGCUGUGCACAGAAAUAUUCCUCCUCUGUUUACUUAAGAGGAGGUUGCUGGAGCAAGGAAAGCAAGUCUCCAGCAUGCCCUGUGUUCAUGUAACAUGUUUUCUCAAAGUGCUUCAAUUUCCUGUUGAGUUACCUAAAACAGUGGUCAUAAAACAGGUGACAACUAAAUCUUACAACUUGCAAGGACCUUGUUGUGUUUCUAAUACAAUGUUUUGAAGCCCUUCUCUUUGGAGCCAUGAGUGGAGUGUGUACUGCCCACGUAUGAAAAAGAGAGUUCCAUCCUAAUACCUCUCAAUGCCUGCAUGAGCUGAAGGGAAGUCAGAACAGAAGAUAAACUACUGUCCAUCUUCUAUACAUAAAAUCCACGAAUCAACAUAUGUGUUGGGAGCAGAGGAAAAAUAUUGCUUGCAAAUAACCUCCACCCCUCCAGCCUCCAAAAAAACACUGCUCCAGCUUCAGGACACUGGAGCAUCUUCCCACCACUGAGACCCCCAGCAGCCACAGAC